rnacentral:tRNA from 1 species
GCCCUCGUAGCUCAGGGGAUAGAGCGUCUGCCUCCGGAGCAGAAGGCCGCAGGUUCGAAUCCUGCCGAGGGCACGA